AUGGACGGAUCGACGAACAAUAACAAUGAUGGAAUGCCACAGGACUGUAAAAUGGUACAUGGUGACCCCAGUAUUCAUGCCGCCAUGAUGUCCAUGCAGGAAAGUGAGGUGGUGAUUGGAAGGGAAAUGAUCGAUGGCAGUGAUAUGAACAGUGGUAACAAAACCAGUUGUGAUGUUGAGAUGAGUCGAGCAGAUGAAUCUGUGAGAGCUUGUGGCAACGGCACUACCGAGGCAUUAGCACCAACCGCAAGUGAAUUGAUCAAUGGCAGUGAUAUGAGCAGUGGUAACAAAACCGCUUCUGAUGUUGAGAUGAGUCGAGCAGAUGAAUCUGUGAGAGCUUGUGGCAACGGUACGACCAAGGCAUUAGCACCAACUGCAUCAAGUUGCAACACCAAUGAGAAGCCCACGACAUCGGACCAUUUCACCCUUGAGACUGUUUCUGAAGAAUGCAAGGAAAUCCGUUGCAACCGUUGCUGGAAAACUUUUGCAUACAUCUCUGGCUCAAAAGUCAGAAGUGCUAGUCAUCUGAAGAGGCAUGUGUACUCAUGUCGUGGAAGUGGAACAAAAAGCCUAGGACGGCCUUCAAUAGGCGGGAGAGACAGAGACAGUCGUAGCAGUAGUUUCCAAAUUGAGGCGCCUGAUGGUCAUAAGAAGGAUGAAGAAACCAAAGCCAAAAUUCAGUAUACAAGGCCUAUUCCGUUUCCUCUUAAAUGUCCGGGAUAUGCAGUCGUAGACAUGAAGGGCAGCCCGCACAAUGUCUGGCUGCGUUGGCGCAGAGCUAUACUCACUUUUCGUCUGUGGUGUUUCAAUACGAGUGACCAGAGGUAUCAGUUUGGGCAUCCUCACAAGCUGAGCUGCGUGCUUCCUAAGUCGGGCCAUUUCUUAUUCUAUUUCUGCAUCGGCUCAACAAAUUGGCUUUGCGCCGUUAUUGAUGGUCCUUCCGGUUACCUCGAUGGCUACAUCACAAGGAGUACUGGAAAGCACUAUGAACUCAGGGUCAGGGAAAAUCAAGCGAAGGUACAGAAGGGACAGAAGGGACAGAAGGGACAGAAGGGUCCACAACCACGUCUUAUUGAGAAAGCAAAGGAGCUACCUUGGCCUGGAACUUAUUCCGUUGGUUCAUCUUGCAGGCUGGGCUUUCAUGGCUUGUUUUGGUCAGUCAAGACUAUGCAUCAGUUCGUUGAGACAGGCUUAGAUAAUGGUUUCGUGGAGCGUGCCGGCCAAACCAUUAUAGUGCAUACUUCCGAGGCAGGCAGGUCUGAUAGUCUAAUGGAGGACAUCGAUGACUGUUUCUGUUCGGACGAUGCACAUCGCUUAGGCUCGGAAAGACUUGGGAAAGCCCAGAACUGGUCAAACGACUCUCGAGAUGCACAGUUGGAAAUGGAAGAUAUAACACCUUGCAAACAUGACAGAGCCAAUGGAUCCAAACGAAAAUCUGUUUCUGAUGAAAAUGAGGCACAGACACCUGAAAUGGUGAAGGCAGUUGAAUCUAUUGAGACAUUCAGACUUUUCCAUCGUCCGAAACAUGAGCAUGGCAAAUUUUUGCUGGAUAAUAUGCCCAUAAAACUCUCCAGUAGUGGUCCAGUUAAUUAUCAACGGAAACCUGACUUGGACCUUACUUCUGCGAGAUUUCUGACCGAGAGAUUCAAAUACAAGAGCCCCAUUUUAAGAGAGGACUUGGACAACAAGAACAAGACAAUCAAAACCAAGUUUCAGCCUGCUAGUGUCAAGCCACCAGCUGUGGAACUGGAGCGUCUAGAAGAACAUGAAGCUAAUGAGGCUAAGGAAAGUGUUACACAGGAAAUGGGUGUAUCUUUUGAGAUACAUGGUGCUGACACUUCUGUUUCGUCCUCACCAACUGCUAGUGUCAAAUUUACAAGGCCAGUAGACAGUUACUCAGAUAUUAUGAGGGGUGCUGGGAUAGAUGCUGCACCUCAUGAUUUGAAUCUGCUUGAUUGUAACUCUUACAUGACGGUUGAUCGAAGGCCUCAGCCAAUGAAACAUAAGCAGCUCUUCAAUGGACAUUAUUCUGGUCUUCGCAACCUGCACGGCGUAACGUGCUACAUGAAUUCGACAUUACAAUGUCUACGUGCUAUUCCGGAGCUUAAGGAAGCGAUCAAAAGUUACCCUGAUAAUGCGGAGGGUGCUUCGGUUGAUGGUGCACACCAUAAUUUGACCCUUGCAGCCCGGGACAUUUUUCUGAGGCUUGAUCAAAGUGAUGGACCAGUAAAAACUGAACAAUUCUUUGAGAUGCUAUUGACAGCUCAUCCUCAGUUUUCUGAACGGCAUGAAGGUGCAUACAUGCAGCAGGAUGCACAAGAGUUCUGGUCACUGUUUCUUGAAACAUUGUCAGCAACUCUUCCAUCAAAAGGAAGUGAGCCUACCACUGACUGGAUGAAGAAAAUGUUUCAGAUUGAUUGUGUGACGAGGACAAAUUGUGUAGAAAGUGGCGAAACUGGCUCCAAGCCAGAUUCAAGUUAUAUCCUGACGUGUACUUUAGCAAAUGAUAUACAAAAUAUCCAACAAGGACUGAAGCGUGGUAUGCGUACUGAAGUCACGAAGCAUUCUCCAUCGUUGCAACGCGAUGCUAUUCAUAUAAAUGAGGCAUACAUAAAUCAGUUACCAAGAUAUCUAACAGUACGACUACCGAGGUUAGAUUGGCAAAAUACAGCACAAAGCCCCAUCAAGAUUUUCCAGAAAGUCGAAUUUCCAACUGAACUGGAUAUGCAUGACUUAUGCUCUAUUGAACUAAAGCAAAAGAUUCAAGCUUCUAUACAGGCUCUGGAACAUUCCAGCAUGGAUGUUGAUCAUGUUGAUUCUUCAAAACCUGAGAAAGCAUUAACUGCGAUAUACGAUUUAGUGGCUGUCCUGACACAUCAGGGCCGGAGCGCACUUUUUGGGCACUAUGUUGCCUGGGUCAAGCACCAAAGUGGACGCUGGAUACAGUUCAAUGAUCAUGUUACAUCGCUACAUGACGAAAGUGAGGUUCUGAGCCUAUGUGGUGGCAGCGAUCAAGACAAGCACACGGCCUAUAUCUGUGUUUACAAAGCUCGCUUAGUUUGA
rnacentral:rRNA from 1 species